AACGAUGAACACUAGGUGUGGGGUGCAUAGCAUUCCGUGCCGCAGCUAACGCAAUAAGUGUUCCACCUGGGGAGUACGGCCGCAAGGUUGAAACUCAAAGGAAUUGACGGGAGCCCGCACAAGCAGUGGAGUAUGUGGUUUAAUUCGACGCAACGCGAAAAACCUUACCAAGGAUUGACAUCCCGAGAAGUCGGCGUAAUGGCUGAUGUGCCUCUUCGGAGGAACUCGGUGACAGGUGGUGCAUGGUUGUCGUCAGCUCGUGUCGUGAGAUGUUGGGUUAAGUCCCGCAACGAGCGCAACCCUUACCGUCAGUUGCUACGCAAGAGCACUCUGGCAGGACUGCCGUUGACAAAACGGAGGAAGGUGGGGACGACGUCAAAUCAUCAUGCCCCUUAUAUCUUGGGCUACACACGUACUACAAUGGCGCAAACAAAGAGCAGCGACCCCGCGAGGGCGAGCAAAUCUCAUAAAAGGCGUCCCAGUUCGGACUGCAGGCUGCAACUCGCCUGCACGAAGUGGAAUGCUAGUAAUCGCGAAUCAGUCAGCGCGAU
rnacentral:rRNA from 1 species